rnacentral:rRNA from 1 species
UUGGCUCAGGAUGAACGCUGGCGGCGUGUCUUAUACAUGCAAGUCGAGCGACGUAGCAAUACGUAGCGGCGAACGGGUGAGUAACGCGCAAGCAAUCUGCCCCAUAUCAGGAAAUACCCGUGCCAACGCGCGGUUAAUGUCCAGGAGAGUGGCCAGCUGCAUGGUUGGUUGACUAGAGAUUUAUCGGUAUGGGAUGAGCUUGCGUCCGAUUAGCUAGUUGGCGGGGCAACGGCCCACCAAGGCGACGAUCGGUAGCCGGCCUGAGAGGGUGAUCGGCCACAUUGGGACUGAGAUACGGCCCAGACUCCUACGGGAGGCAGCAGUGGGGAAUA